AACGAACGCUGGCGGCAUGCCUAACACAUGCAAGUCGAACGAGACCUUCGGGUCUAGUGGCGCACGGGUGCGUAACGCGUGGGAACCUGCCCUUAGGUUCGGAAUAACUCCCCGAAAGGGGUGCUAAUACCGGAUAAUGUCUUCGGACCAAAGAUUUAUCGCCUUUGGAUGGGCCCGCGUUGGAUUAGCUAGUUGGUAGGGUAAAAGCCUACCAAGGCGACGAUCCAUAGCUGGUCUGAGAGGAUGAUCAGCCACACUGGGACUGAGACACGGCCCAGACCCCUCCGGGGGGGAGCAGGGGGGAAAUUUGGACAAUGGGCGAAAGCCUGACCCAACAAGGCCGGGGGAGUGAUGAAGGCUUUGGGGUUGUAAAGCUCUUUUACCCGGGAUGAUAAGGACAGUACCGGGAAAAUAAGCCCCGGCUAACUCCGG
rnacentral:rRNA from 1 species